rnacentral:rRNA from 1 species
AUUGAACGCUGGCGGCAGGCCUAACACAUGCAAGUCGGGCGGUAACAUAGGGAGCUUGCUCCUGGGUGACGAGCGGCGGACGGGUGAGUAAUGUCUGGGAAACUGCCUGAUGGAGGGGGAUAACUACUGGAAACGGUAGCUAAUACCGCAUAACGUCGCAAGACCAAAGAGGGGGACCUUCGGGCCUCUUGCCAUCAGAUGUGCCCAGAUGGGAUUAGCUAGUAGGUGGGGUAACGGCUCACCUAGGCGACGAUCCCUAGCUGGUCUGAGAGGAUGACCAGCCACACUGGAACUGAGACACGGUCCAGACUCCUACGGGAGGCAGCAGUGGGGAAUAUUGCACAAUGGGCGCAAGCCUGAUGCAGCCAUGCCGCGUGUAUGAAGAAGGCCUUCGGGUUGUAAAGUACUUUCAGCGGGGAGGAAGGUGUUGUGGUUAAUAACCACAGCAAUUGACGUUACCCGCAGAAGAAGCACCGGCUAACUCCGUGCCAGCCGCCGCCGUAAAAC